rnacentral:lncRNA from 1 species
AUUUUUUCAGGAUUUGGAAUGUCUUUGUCAUUCAUAUCAGCAUCACCAAGUGUUGGGUUGUAUUUUGAUGGGAAGUAAAGACUUAUGGCUUUAGCCCUUGUUUCAACAAGUGGAGGAGUUGGAGCUGCAAUUGUACCAAUAAUACUAGUAAAAGUUUAUUGGAAAAUAUAGUUGGAGGGGUGCUCUGUUAGUUUUAGGGGGAAUAACAAAUAAUUUAGUAGCUACUGCGUGCCUAUUUACGAAGCCAUCAUUUCAGAUAAGAUGCAGAAUUAGUGAUGUAUCUCAUGAAAAAUCAUCGGUGUCUUAUGUAUCUAAUAACGACAGUUUAGUUACUACUGAGAAUAAAAUUCAACAUCCAGGGGCUACAAAUGCAACACAAAGUUCAACGUAUGCAUCAAUCAGUAUAUCAGAAAUACGACGAGUGCAUAAGGAAACAAAUACUUCUAAAAGAAAGGGUAUUGUUGAUAUUUUGACAGGUUUAUUUUAAAAUAAAUUAUUUAUUUCUUACAUUUGUGCACAAGCGAUGUGUUUGGCGGCAUAUAAUUCUAUAAUUUUUUUCAUUGAUUUUUUUCAGUUCAAAGAUUUGACUAGAACAGACGCUGUCAGUAUAUAUUUUUAAAUGCAUGUGAUGAGUACUGUGUUUAGGUAUGUAACAGGCCUGCUUAAGCAAAUACCGCACGUGAGUGUAAUAGCAAUUCCAGUAUUUUGUGCUUUAUUGGGUGCUUAAUCAAUAGGUUUGUUUCCAUUGAUAGGCUCAUCGUACAUUGCAAAUUUGCUCGUUGCAUUUAUGUACGGCUGCGACAGAGGUGGAAUAAAUUCAGUCAUUGCAAUAUCGAUUGUUAAACUAGCUGGACAAGAGAAUUAUUCUGUUGCACUUGGAAUUUCUAUGACAUUUACCGGGAUACUGAAUGCAGCAGCUGGACCUGUAUCUGGUUUGUUUCAAUUAAAUUUGAAAUUGAUUACUACAUAAUGUCUAUGCGUAUACAAUAGGAAGGUUCAUUCACUUAAAAAGGAUACUUAGAAAAAGUCAAACAAUAUAAAGAAAAUUUAUCCUUGGUGUUAAAUUCAAUGGAAAAGUUGAUAUUAUAUUCAAAAAAUUGUGGAGUUUUGUACAAUAUUAAUUAUUCAUUAAUUUACAAGCAAAGUUAUAUGUUUAUUGUAUAAAACAACUGUAAUAGAAAAAUAAUAAAAUCACAAAAAUACCAAACUCAAAGGAAAUUCAAAACAAAACUGAAAUUAAAAUCUCAAACACAUCAAAAUUAUGGAAAACAACUGUUAUAUUCCUCCUAACUUGGUACAGGCGUUUCCUUAUUUAAAAAAUGGUGAAUUACAUCUGGUUUUAUAGCUAGCUAAAUUGUCUACUUGUAUGAUAGUUGCAUAACAUUAUAUUAUAUUGAAAACGAUGCGUGAACAUAAAAAACAGACAUAGCAGGUAAACAUGUCAAAAUAGGGAUACAACAGUCAACAUUGUGUUAUAGGGGACCCUAUAAUAUUUACCUGAAUUUGUGUAUAUAUAUUGAGUUACUUAGUUAUUGUCUUUAUUUGUUUUUGUUGUUGUUAUAUGUCACAAACUGUAUAGUUUAUAUGGCAAUAAAACUUUGAAUUGAAUUGAAUUGAAUAUAAUCUUAAUAACUUUAUAAAAUAAAAUAGAAAUAUAACACCUUACAAAUACGAUAAACAACCAAGAAUCUAUACUUCAAGACCAUUGUGUAUUAAUUUGUGAAGUUGAUACGGAAUCUUUAUCAACAAGGCCUUGGUACCUUUCGAUGAACUUUUUGGAAAAGGCCGAGACGUUCUUUCACAUAUCCCUGGUUCGUCAACUUUCUGCUCAGACACUGGUGACGUUUUAUGAAUCUGAGUAGCAGCUGCAAGUAAAACUCGGUGGACAAUAUUUUCCUGUAAUCUCAUUGAGUGGAUACCACUGAUACUAUACAUAUGUAGUUUAAUGACAACACAUAUUUGAAUUGAAUCGAAUUGAUAAGGAACGACUCGUACCAGAGGGUAUUUUGUGAAUCAAUUCGCACAUAUAUUUUCUUUAUUAGAACUGCAUGUCUGUAUAAUUCUGUUUUACUAACAUUUGGUAAGCAAUUAGACAAGGAUAGGAUUUUACAGUUGUUCGUAAAAUACAGAGUUUUUUUUAUAUAUGAAUUUAAUAAUGCUUUUUAUUUUUUGUUCUUAUGCUUCAUAAAAGUCAUUUUAUUAGGUUUUGGGAUUAAUCAGAGGUACAACUGGAAAUUAUGAUAUGUCAUUUUUCUGUUCAGCUGCGAUCGCAUUUGUUGCCUGUAUUGUCUUUGUCACUAUUAUAUUUAUAAGAUUUUGUGCGAAUCGA